rnacentral:rRNA from 1 species
UACGUAGGGGGCAAGCGUUGUCCGGAUUUAUUGGGCGUAAAGAGCGUGUAGGCGGUCUGGUAGGUCCGUUGUGAAAACUCGAGGCUCAACCUCGAGACGCCGAUGGAAACCAUCAGACUAGAGUCCGGAAGAGGAGAGUGGAAUUCCUGGUGUAGCGGUGAAAUGCGCAGAUAUCAGGAAGAACACCCGUGGCUAAGGCGGCUCUCUAGUACGGUACUGACGCUGAGACGCGAAAGCGUGGGGAGCGAACAGG